GCUAGUCCUGCUCGCUGCGCGUUGUAGUCACCCCGCCCCCGCCCCGCUACGUCAGGUGACGUGAAAUGGCUGAAGUUUGCACUAUUGCCAAAGAGGGAAAACUUCGAAACUACCGAGUAGCUGCUGCCGAGUAGCAUCGCCUGCUUCCGUCUGGACGCUGGAUAUUGUGUCUUUCCAAGGAGGAGGUGUCACCACUUUGUCCACAAUCGCCGAGACGCCGUCCACAAUGAGAGAGACAUUGUCCACGGCUCACAAAGACACAGUCAAAAGUCGCAGUGACAGAGUUCCCCGAUUUGACGACAUCGUCCACUAGCAGAGAGACAUCAUCCACAAUCACAGAGAGUCUUCGUACAAUGAAGUAGUUGUUUGGGACCAGGACAGAGGCCUCCAGCUGAAUUGACAGAAACAACAGGAUCUGCCAAAGGCGAAGGUUUACUGGUUCAGCUGCUGCAGCCUGGACACAAACAGCAGCUCCCACCUUACAAACCAAACAGGUCUUCUCCUUCUGCACAGACAACAACACGCAUUGAUCACACAAACUCAUCUGUGUCUCCACUUCACGUCCACGAUCAGAGAAUCUUUGUACAAUGAAGGAAUUGUUUAGACCAGGACAGAGGCCUCCAGGGGUAUCCAGGGGGACUAGUUUUGGCAGACAGACGAGACCGGGCUCCCGCCGCCACGGA